rnacentral:rRNA from 1 species
GUGGGGAAUAUUGGACAAUGGGGGGAACCCUGAUCCAGCCAUGCCGCGUGUGUGAAGAAGGCCUUUUGGUUGUAAAGCACUUUAAGCGAGGAGGAGGCUACCGAGAUUAAUACUCUUGGAUAGUGGACGUUACUCGCAGAAUAAGCACCGGCUAACUCUGUGCCAGCAGCCGCGGUAAUACAGAGGGUGCAAGCGUUAAUCGGAUUUACUGGGCGUAAAGCGCGCGUAGGUGGCCAAUUAAGUCAAAUGUGAAAUCCCCGAGCUUAACUUAGGAAUUGCAUUCGAUACUGGUUGGCUAGAGUAUGGGAGAGGAUGGUAGAAUUCCAGGUGUAGCGGUGAAAUGCGUAGAGAUCUGGAGGAAUACCGAUGGCGAAGGCAGCCAUCUGGCCUAAUACUGACGCUGAGGUGCGAAAGCAUGGGGAGCAAACAGGAUUAGAAACCCUGGUAGUCC